AAACUCAAAUGAAUUGACGGGGGCCCGCACAAGCAGUGGAGCAUGUGGUUUAAUUCGAAGCAACGCNAAGAACCUUACCAGGUCUUGACAUCCUCUGACAAGCCUAGAGAUAGGCCGUUCCCCUUCGGGGGACAGAGUGACAGGUGGUGCAUGGUUGUCGUCAGCUCGUGUCGUGAGAUGUUGGGUUAAGUCCCGCAACGAGCGCAACCCUUGAUCUUAGUUGCCAGCAUUCAGUUGGGCACUCUAAGGUGACUGCCGGUGACAAACCGGAGGAAGGUGGGGAUGACGUCAAAUCAUCAUGCCCCUUAUGAUCUGGGCUACACACGUGCUACAAUGGGUGGUACAAAGGGCAGCGAAACCGCGAGGUCGAGCUAAUCCCAUAAAGCCACCCCCAGUUCGGAUUGCAGGCUGCAACUCGCCUGCAUGAAGCCGGAAUUGCUAGUGAUCGCGGAUCAGCAUGCCGCGGUGAAUCCGUUCCCGGGCCUUGUACACACCGCCCGUCACACCACGAGAGUUUGUAACACCCGAAGUCGGUGCGAGAACCUUUAUGGACUCAGCCGCCGAAGGUGGGACAAAUGAUUGGGGUGAAGUCGUAACAAGGUAGCCG
rnacentral:rRNA from 1 species